GACGAACGCUGGCGGCGUGCUUAACACAUGCAAGUCGAACGGAAAGGCCUGCUUUCCCUUGUGGAUUGCGGGUACUCGAGUGGCGAACGGGUGAGUAACACGUGAGUGAUCUGCCCCCAACUUGGGUAUAAGCCUGGGAAACUGGGUCUAAUUCCCGAUAGGACUGCAGGGUGGUGCCUGUGGUGGAAGACGAUUUUCUAGUGGUUGGGGAUGAGCUCGCGGCCUAUCAGCUUGUUGGUGGGGUAAUGGCCUACAAAGGCGGCGACGGGUAGCCGGACGGGGGUGGUCGACGGUCACAGUGGGACUGGGAUACGGCCCAGACGCCUACGGGAGGCAGCAGUGGGGAAUAUUGGAGAAUGGGCGGAAGCCUGAUGCAGCGACGCCGCGUGGGGGAUGACGGCCUUCGGGUUGUAAACUCCUUUCGACCGCGAGGAAGCCACGUGGUUGGAAGGGUGGUGACGGUAGUGGUAGAAGAAGCACCGGCUAACUACGUG
rnacentral:rRNA from 1 species